GGCCACUCCACUUCUCUCCUCACGGCCCUGUCUCCCAACCCUUGUACCAGUGCUGUGCCUCAGACGCUGGUACAGGCCUGGGGGGCAGGGAACUGGGGACUGUGGCACCUGUGGGCC
rnacentral:pre_miRNA from 13 species